GAUGUGCUCGCGCAUGUCCGCAGCUGUAUUCACUAAAGUGCGCGCAGCCGGGCAAUAGCGCGCAUAGAGAGAGGCGCGCCUCUGAAUGAGAAGCACAGAAGAGAGUUUAUCUUUACACAUGCCACAGACACACAGCAGAAGAUAAACAUGGAGUUAUCACUGAUCGCAGCGCAGCAGGUCACAGAGAUCUCUGCAACAUAAUUCAGUGACAGAUGAGGCAGAGCAUCUGAGGGCGGAGGGAAUUGGGUGGGCACGUUCUGUUUCACUCAUCCAGCUGAUUCAUCCAGAAUAGCAUUUUCAAGCAGUCAGCGGGGCCUUCAUGGAUUCUCCAUGCAAUGACAACUCAUCCCAUCAGACUUCCACCUCCAACCUCAAUGCAAACUUCUCCCGACCAGCCGAACAGGAAGAAGAGGGCAAGUUCUCCAGCGAUGCCAUCUGGCUGUUGUGUGCUUGGCUCCAGAGUCAGUGGAGACACAGGGGCACACCACCAACUCAACUUUACAAUGUGCCUUAGGGAAAUAUCAUUCUGCCAUCUCAUGCUUCAAUGGAAACAGAGUUUAGAUUAUCUUAUUAUGGAGACUAGAAGAAACAUGUUAACCUAAAGGACAUUUGUAUUAUAAAAACAAACAACUCAAAACAAAGAGUGCUUUGGUUGCUGCCAAAGUGCAAUGGGAACCUGUUUAAAGAUACUCUGCCGUGCUUUGUCAAUGAACAGAGACAUACAGAACGUAUUAUAUUGUUCCAGUGGUUGUCAAUGUGAAAAUUAAAUAAAAAAUAAUAAUUUUAAAGUUCUUGAGCAUGCUUGCUGUUAUAUACAUAAUAUGUCAUGUUCAUAAUUUUCACAACUUUAUUUUUGUCUUUAUUUUUAGUUAAGUUGUUAUUAUGCAUGAGAAAAGCAGUUAAUGAGUGCAAAUUAUGUAGAAUAAAAGGACAUUUCACAAUAAGCUCAGUUACAAACAUUAUCCAUUAUAUCCAAUGAUAAAAUAAAUAUUCAUUAUUUAAUAAUGCAUAACAUUACAUAUUUGUAUUAUUUU